AUUGAACGCUAGCGGGAUGCUUUACACAUGCAAGUCGAACGAGUGGCGGCCGGGUGAGUAAUAUAUCGGAACUUGCCCAGUAGCGGGGUAUAACUCCUCGACAGAGUGGCUAACACCGCAAACUAUUGGCGCGGCCGAUAUCGGAUUGUCUAGUUGGUGGGUUAAAGGCUCACCAAGGCCACGAGCCGUAGCUGGUUUGAGAGGACGACCAGCCACACUGGGACUGAGACACGGCCCAGACCCCGACGGGAGGCAGCAGUGGGGAAUUUUGGACAAUGGGGGAAACCCUGAGCCAGCCAUCCCGCGUGUAUGAGAAGGCGGUCGGGUUGUAAAGUAAUUUUGGCAGAGAAGCGGUAUCGGCAGAAUAAGCACCGGCUAACGACGUGCCAGCAGCCGCGGUAAUAC
rnacentral:rRNA from 1 species